AGUGGCGGACGGGUGAGUAACGCGUAAGAAUCUAACUUCAGGACGGGGACAACAGUUGGAAACGACUGCUAAUACCCGAUGUGCCGCAAGGUGAAACCUAAUUGGCCUGAAGAAGAGCUUGCGUCUGAUUAGCUAGUUGGUGGGGUAAAGGCCUACCAAGGCGACGAUCAGUAGCUGGUCUGAGAGGAUGAGCAGCCACACUGGGACUGAGACACGGCCCAGACUCCUACGGGAGGCAGCAGUGGGGAAUUUUCCGCAAUGGGCGAAAGCCUGACGGAGCAACGCCGCGUGAGGGAGGAAGGUCUUUGGAUUGUAAACCUCUUUUCUCAAGGAAGAAGUUCUGACGGUACUUGAGGAAUCAGCCUCGGCUAACUCCGUGCCAGCAGCCGCGGUAAUACGGGGGAGGCAAGCGUUAUCCGGAAUUAUUGGGCGUAAAGCGUCCGCAGGUGGUCAGCCAAGUCUGCUGUCAAAUCAGGUUGCUUAACGACCUAAAGGCGGUGGAAACUGGCAGACUAGAGAGCAGUAGGGGUAGCAGGAAUUCCCAGUGUAGCGGUGAAAUGCGUAGAGAUUGGGAAGAACAUCGGCGGCGAAAGCGUGCUACUGGGCUGUAUCUGACACUCAGGGACGAAAGCUAGGGGAGCGAAAGGGAUUAGAUACCCCUGUAGUCCUAGCCGUAAACGAUGGAUACUAGGCGUGGCUU
rnacentral:rRNA from 1 species